GUAGUGAACCUGCAGAAGGAUCA
rnacentral:rRNA from 1 species